rnacentral:rRNA from 1 species
UAUACAACUUUCAGCAACGGAUCUCUUGGCUCUCGCAUCGAUGAAGAACGCAGCGAAAUGCGAUAAGUAAUGUGAAUUGCAGAAUUCAGUGAAUCAUCGAAUCUUUGAACGCACCUUGCGCUCCUUGGUAUUCCGAGGAGCAUGCCUGUUUGAGUGUCAUUAAAUUCUCAACCCCUCCAAUUGUUUCUGAUUGUGAUGGGGSUUGGAUAUGGA